CAUAGGUGAGACUCUGCAUACACAGUAGUGGAGAUAACCAAGAAUGGGGUGGUUUUGCUGAGAGGCAGGGAGGAAAAGAGAAAAGUGCUGAGGUAGAUGACCAACUCACUGUGGGAGUGGAGGACCCAGGAAAUAGGAGGCUUGUUGCAGCUCUGGGAAGGAGUAAAACUUGGGGCUGCCUGUCCCCCAGGACCCCAAAACACAAGCAACACCUCCAUGUGCAAGAUGCUAAUAGGCACGUUUAUUGAGCCUCUCCUGUGUUGAGAAACUCCAGGUGAUAUCUCAUUUCAGUUUAUUCUCAAGCAAUACUUUGAAAUUGAAAUUAUUUCCCCCAUUGAGGAGAUGAAGAACCCAAGGCUCAGAAAGUGCUAAGAUCAUACAGCUAGCAAAACCUGGAGUCAGGAUUUGAACACAGGUCUGCUCUCAAAGCCUCUCUCCACUGCCUCAUGUCUCUCUCUGCUGAUGCUCAUUCUGUGGUAGCUAUUGAACCACAAUGGUGGUUCCAGGAGACAAGUGGCCACUGUCCUCUACAGCUGCAGCAGCAGAUUCCUUUCCUUAUGGCAUCUGCCUUCAACACCCUCCCACCUGGGCCUCUCCAUUCCAUCACAUGAUGCUCAGAUCAUGACCUGCACAGACUCAGCAUGCUCGGUGACUCACCUAUGGCUUGUUUCUCUCCAGAAGUGUACCCCACAUGUUGGAAGCUACUAAAGAGGGCCUGACCACCUGCUUCAUUAGGCCCAUUAGCCUUCUUCUUUUGCAGGAGCCAGAUUUGUCAUGUAUUUAUUCUUGAUGCAUUUUUUUUCCUUUGAUCUUCCAGAACAGCCACUUCAAUUUAGGUUUCUACCUGGACAUGAUAAAAUUCCAAGCAUGUUCUCACCCCCAUCCCAGGUUUCAAGGUGUAUUAGUUUAAAGAAUUCCUCUCCAUCUGAGGAAAUGUUAUUGUCUGAGCAAUACCAGAGUUGGAGGUCCCAGACUCACUGAGGGUAAGAUGUUAGAAUUUCAAACUCUUAAUCCUAUUGAUUCCCAGUCCUUUUGAUCUUUUCAGCACCUGUCAGGAGAGUUGAGUUUAUAUAAUUGGGGGGAGGGUGACUGAUUGGCUCUGGUUUUAUUACGACCUGUUUGUGCCAUUUAAUUAAUAAUAAAAACAGCUGCCAGCUGCCGAACCACUUGAGGACAUCUUUGCAGCUUCUGCUUUUCCAAAAGCUCAGGCAAUUAUUUGGGUUUCAGGAAGGUGACUGAAUCAGAUCAUCAGCCUGGGAUGGAUUUUGUUUUGCCUUUAAGCAACCUCCAGUCGUCCUUUGUAGAGUCCAUAAGUGAAUUGAAUAACCAAGAAACACACAGCUCUUUUCAAGGACAGGAAAGGGGAAGAAAAGUGCUAUUUCCUGAGUGUUUAGGUUGUGCCAGGCACUUAACUCGCUUAAUCCUUUCGACAGCUUUGAGUCGUAGAUCUUAUUAUCCCCAUUUUACAGAUUAGAGAGUCUAGCCUCAGAGGUUAAGAAACAUGCCCCAAGUUCAAACAGCCAGAAAAUGACAAGGCUGGGAUAAGAACUCAUCUGUCUGAUUUCAAAGUCAUUGUGUUUUCACGCUGUGUAGGUUGAAGAAUUUCUUAAUGCAUCCUGAAAAGUAAGAAAACUUGUUUGGUUCUGUUUUGUUGUUUCUGCAUUUUUUAAAUGAAUAAAAUGUGCUGUUUAAAAGUCCUAGGUUCUCACUCAACCAAAUGUGAAGACUCAUUAAAAGCUCUGCUAAGUAAGUGAGAAAUAUAAAUAGGUCAGUGAAAUGAUAUAGGAAUCUUCAGAAACAGCUCAAUGAAAAUCAGUCAGGGAAGUGAUAGACUAAUAAAUGGUGUUGGGGAAACUGACUUUCAAUAUUAAAAUAAAGCUAAGUUCCUAUCUCAUCUCAUACACAAAAACAAAUUCCAGAUGGCUGAAGUAUCUAAAGCUUAAAAGAGAAAAAAUGAAACAUUUAAAAUUAUUAGAAAAAAAUAGGAGAAUAUCUUAGGGCAGAGAAGACACCAAAAAAUAGAAAUAAUGAUGGAAAACAUAAAUAAACUUAGCUACCUCAAAAUUUAAUUUUUGUAAAACAAAAAAACCCAGCUUACAAAGUUAAAAGAAGAGAAGUAGCCUGAGAGAAGAUAUUAGCAAGACUUACAACAGUCAAGAUUAGUAUUGAGAAUGUAUUAAGAAAGAAAUUUUUAAAAAACUCCUACAAAUCAAUACCCAAAGACAGACAACCUAGUAGAUAAAUGGGCAAAGAUUAUAGAACAAGAAGUUCACAGAAAAGAAACCCACACCCUCAGAAUGAACAAAUAAACAAGUGUUCAACCCAACAGGGAAAUAACAGCAAAAAUAACACAAUUGGCAAAAAUUAAAUAAUAUAUCCUUGUUAGGUAUGAGUGAGAAUAUGGGCUAAUGGAAAUGUUCACAAAUUACUGGUAUCAGUAUAAAUUUGUACAGACAUCAUGGAAAUUGUUUUGGCAGUAUCAGGUAAAAAUUGACAAGGUGUAUCACCACCCAGGAACCCGCUUCUAGACAUAUCUAACAAAGAAAUUCUUAUGCAAGUGUAGGGCCAGCUUCAUGGACACAGAGUUCUGCCCUCAGAAGGGCCCUGUGCUUGGUUUAAUGCUCUGCUUUCACUGUCUUGAAGUUCUUAAUAGUUUUACUUUUGAACUUGUGCUUUUAAGUGGUGUUUGCUGGGGCACUGCAGCAUGUCAUGAAUGGAGGAGAUGGGUGCAAUAUGCAUGUCAGCCACAUCUUGCUGCCCUGUUCAUGUAUAGUAUUCAGGAAGCCCCACGAGCACAGAAUCCCAGUGGACCCAUGAAGUGUGGGAGUUCAACAGGACUCAGGGCAAGAACAAAAUGCUGGCUCGUUACUGGGAAUUUGGCUGCUAUUUGAGGCCUGGCCCUCUUAAGAGCAACACGGCGCUGGUAAUAGUCCCUGGAAGGUGACUUUCUCAAGCUCAGCCCAAUUAUCCAUUUUUCUUCUGGCCACUAAUCUUUAACUCCAUCCCAUCCACUAAUCCAUUCCCCCAUGAGCAAACAAUGCACAGAUUGCAUUCAGGAAUACAGGAGAGUUCUUAGCAUGACUGAGACCAUAUAGCCAUUUACUGGGAAGCUGAAGUUCCUGUCAUGGAUGUCCUAACACCAAGCUCAGUUCUGCAGCAAAGCAAAAGUGUACUCACUGGGCAGACAGAUACUGAUUACAGGACUCUCUCUAGAGACACGGCCAUACCCUGAAUCUAUUUACUGCCCCCUGAACAUACUAGGCACCAGGCACUGUUUAGAGAGAAGCCCCACUGCUGCAAUUGGAAUAGCCCUGGCCUAGCAGGGCCAUUCCUUGUCCCAUUGCAGAUCAUUAUUUU